UACAGAGGUCUCAAGCGUUGUUCGGAUUCAUUGGGCGUAAAGGGUGCGUAGGCGGCGCGGUAAGUCGGGUGUGAAAUCUUGGAGCUUAACUCCGAAACUGCAUUCGAUACUGCCGUGCUUGAGGACUGGAGAGGAGACUGGAAUUUCCGGUGUAGCGGUGAAAUGCGUAGAUAUCGGAAGGAACAUCAGUGGCGAAAAGCGGCUUCCUGGACCAGUACCGACGUUCAGGCACGAAAGCGUGGGGAGCAAACAGG
rnacentral:rRNA from 1 species